rnacentral:rRNA from 1 species
AUUGAACGCUGGCGGCGUGCUUAACACAUGCAAGUCGUGCGGUAACAGGCGUAGCAAUACGUGCUGACGAGCGGCGAACGGGUGCGUAAUACAUGGGAAUCUGCCCUUUAGUGGGGAAUAACCCGGCGAGAGCCGGGCUAAUGCCGCAUAAGAUCUUCGGAUGAAAGCGGGGGAUCGUAAGACCUCGCGCUGAUGGAUGAGCCCAUGUCGGAUUAGCUAGUUGGUGAGGUAACGGCUCACCAAGGCGACGAUCCGUAGCUGGUCUGAGAGGACGGCCAGCCACACUGGGACUGAGACACGGCCCAGACUCCUACGGGAGGCAGCAGUGGGAAUUUUGGACAAUGGGCGCAAGCCUGAUCCAGCCAUGCCGCGUGCGGGAAGAAGGCCU